ACGCUCGACACCUAGGAGGCAGCAGUGGGGAAUAUUGCACAAUGGGGGAAACCCUGAUGCAGCGACGCCGCGUGGAGGAAGAAGGUCUUCGGAUUGUAAACUCCUGUUGUUGGGGAAAAAGAGGAUGGUACCCCAACAAGGAAGUGACGGCUAACUACGUGCCAGCAGCCGCGGUAAUCUGAGGCGGGCUGGCAAGGC
rnacentral:rRNA from 1 species